UACGGAGGAUGCAAGCGUUAUCCGGAAUGAUUGGGCGUAAAGCGUCCGCAGGUGGCAAUGUAAGUCUGCUGUUAAAGAGUCUAGCUCAACUAGAUAAAAGCAGUGGAAACUACAUAGCUAGAGUACGUUCGGGGCAGAGGGAAUUCCUGGUGUAGCGGUGAAAUGCGUAGAGAUCAGGAAGAACACCGGUGGCGAAGGCGCUCUGCUAGGCCGUAACUGACACUGAGAGACGAAAGCUAGGGGAGCAAAUGGG
rnacentral:rRNA from 1 species